GCUGGCGGCAUGCCUAACACAUGCAAGUCGAACGAGACCUUCGGGUCUAGUGGCGCACGGGUGCGUAACGCGUGGAACCUGCCUUAGGUUCGGAAUAACUCAGAGAAAUUUGAGCUAAUACCGGAUAAUGUCUUCGGACCAAAGAUUUAUCGCCUUAGAUGGGCCCGCGUUGGAUUAGCUAGUUGGUGGGGUAAAGGCCUACCAAGGCGACGAUCCAUAGCCUGGUCUGAGAGGAUGAUCAGCCACACUGGGACUGAGACACGGCCCAGACCUCCUACGGGAGGCAGCAGUGGGGAAUAUUGGACAAUGGGCGAAAGCCUGAUCCAGCAAUGCCGCGUGAGUGAUGAAGGCCUUAGGGUUGUAAAGCUCUUUACCCGAGAUGAUAAUGAUAGUAUCGGGAGAAUAAGCUCCGGCUAACUCCGUG
rnacentral:rRNA from 1 species